rnacentral:lncRNA from 1 species
GGGUGCCUGGAUUGGAACAAGGGCUUCGGCCUAACAGGCUGGUCGGAAAAGCCAAGGCCCAAGCUGGGGUGUUGGUGCAUGGUCACCCACAUGGUUGAAUCGUGGGCCCUGUUUCAGCCUCUGCUACCUCCCAGUCUCUGCCUAGAUAAGAUUUGAAGGAUGACACAGAACCUGCUUCCCUGGUGAAUCUGGGAACAGCCUCUUAUAGUACAGAGCCACUAUUUAUUCCGCCCUUGUGCUUCCCUUGAGUAUAAGUUAUGAUAUAUCAGCAUUGUCUUUGAGGUCUACUGAAUCUGUGGAUAUGCAAUACUCUGAAGAGUGGAGACGGAAUGAAGUUGAAAGGAUUCAUGAAUAAAAAUCAGAAACUGGAAAUGCCACUAGAGCAAAGGGAUCCUGAAAUCCUUGUGGAUUAUAUUCCUGGACCAAGGAAGACAACAGGACACCGAGAAAGUUAACCUCAGGCAGAAAAAAUGACAGCAGCAUGCAGAUGCCUGGAGUGGAAUUCAGAGAGAACUACUUGACAAAAAUACAUCUGGGGAGGAGGAGUGGCAGUGGGUGUGAAAACUUUGCGUGUUGUCUUUUAGGAUGGAAGGUGUACUACUGAUCAAAAUGAAUGCUCAGGAAGGAGCUGAGGGGUGUGGGUCUACAUCUCAGGAAUCAGUCAUAGCUGGGGGGAUGCAGCACCAUGCACCAUGAAGCUGUAGUCAUCACUGAGCUCUCCAAGUUUUGUACCACAUCUGUCUAUUUGUGGCAUUUGACUACUUAUCUUGGAUUUUCCUCACAGUCUCAGGAGCCA